AGCAAUUUGUUUCAAAGAUGACCAACAAUAUAGUUCAAAACAACCCUUCUGGACUUUAUAUUCUGGUCACUGCUUCUGAUGGAGUUUUUAUAACAUCUCCUAGUUCGUUUUUCAGACCGAAACUUCCUUUACCAAUAAGUGAAACUAAAGAAGACUGUGAAACUCUGCUUAAUUCCUGGAUAGCAAGUAAAAAGGCGGUUGCCUUUAGAUGGAAUUCUACCUCCAAGACGGAGUGGAACCUUUUUAGUUAUUCGAAGGAUUUCACUGAUGGUGAUGGAAGCACAUUUUUAAGUCUGGUGUUGUAAACUGCUUUUCUGAGAGUUCGAAAGAAAUUUCAGCUGAAAGGAACAAGCUUCUACUAGAACUUCAUGGCAAAGAGUUGUUGAAGACAACUGUAGGAAAAAGAACAAACAGUUAUCCAACAUCAAAGUGUCCCACACCAGGAAUAAUGAAAAGUCCAAGAAAGUAUGUUAACGUUCCUUCUGUUCAACAAUCAAAAGAGGUUUCUGCAGUCAAACAGAAAACAGUGCCUGUCAAGUCAAAAUCAACUUCUCUGGCUAAACCAAAGGCAGCAGUUCCCUCGGCAGUUCCAUUCCAACAAAAGGCUAUUGAAUCACUGGUGCCAGAAAAACAGGGUGUAAAAAGAAAAUUAGAAUACCCUGAAA